rnacentral:rRNA from 1 species
AACGCUAGCGGCAGGCCUAAUACAUGCAAGUCGAACGGUAACAUUGGUGCUUGCACCAGAUGACGAGUGGCGCACGGGUGCGUAACGCGUAUGCAACCUACCUUUUACUAGAGUAUAGCCCAGAGAAAUUUGGAUUAAUCCUCUAUAAUAUCUUUUAAUCUCAUGAUUUUAAGAUUAAAGUUUUAACGGUAAAAGAUGGGCAUGCGUCCUAUUAGUUUGUAGGUGAGGUAACGGCUCACCUAGACUACGAUAGGUAGGGGCCCUGAGAGGGGGAUCCCCCACACUGGUACUGAGACACGGACCAGACUCCUACGGGAGGCAGCAGUAAGGAAUAUUGGACAAUGGACGAAAGUCUGAUCCAGCCAUGCCGCGUGCAGGAUGACAGCCCUACGGGUUGUAAACUGCUUUUAUACAGGAAGAAACACUCCGACGUGUCGGAGCUUGACGGUACUGUAAGAAUAAGGAUCGG